GGCCUGAGAACCUAGAUCCUCCUCUAGUAGUUUGGAUUGUGUAAACCACUAAGAUAUUAUAUAAGCAAAGAUAGGGGAAGAUAGCCCUUGAAAUGGAAAAUUUACCAAUGAUGGAUCUAUCAUAAUUUUGAGUGAUAGCUAGACUUAGAUAUAAACAAACCAAAAAAAUGGACUCUAACCUUUUUUGCUGUUAAAUCUGUCAGUUACAUAGAUCUUUUCUACUCUUUAGCUGCUUUGCAGGUAUUAAGGAUGACAGCAAUGUUUGGACAAUUUUGCCAAGCACUUAGGGGCUCUAUCAUGAAUUGUGGGAAGCAGGAAAUGUGCAAGCAGCAUAGGAGUGCACCACUGAGGAGAGAGUGACUAUUCUACAGCAAAGUUUUCCUUUCUGGUGAUAUAAAAAGCAGUGGGACAUUCACUGCUAAUCUCUUUGUGAUGACAUAAGGAAGAAUCCUUAUAAAGGUUUAGGACUCUCAGGGAGAGAUGUAUUUCCCUUUUGAAAGGAUAUUUCUAUCACUGUAGAGCACUGAAUUUGGUUUCUGUCACACAUAUCUAAUAUGAUGGGUGUUGCAUGUGAAACGCAGCACCUGUGACAACCUACUGAGGGACUGCUCAGGGACUGCUCAGAGACUGCUACUUCUAGGAAUUCACUGAAAGCCUUGGAAAACGUGGAGAAUCUCCAUUUUCAGAGUUAAUGGACUUAGGUAUAAUUGUUUCAAUUGUCUGAAAUAUCAUAUUUGAUUUUCCUUAGAAUAUCACAGUGGUGAAAGGGCAGGUUCUGGUUCUGAAGUUGGUUCAAAUCCUAGCCCUGCCACUUCCUGGCUGUGAGACCUUGAGCAAGUUGUUUAGUUUCUCUAUACCUCAGUUUCCCCCUUAUUAAAAAGCAAUAAUAAUAACCACUUAAUUUCAAUGAGGUUAAAUAUACGAUACAUUUGGAAUCAAUGAAUUCAAUACACCUGUAAUCAAACUGGCAUGUAUUAAGGACUCAAGAAAUGUUGGCUUUCAGUCUUUUACUAAUACUAUCAUAUUUAUACCCUGGAGAAUGCCUGAUGCAGUCAUUUGUGUCAUACAGGUAUGCAUACUUGAGGUCCAGCCCACCGGAUUGUUUGGUUUCUACAUUGGAUAAGCACUGGGGAGUCCCAGCUGGAGUUGAAGUUCUGCUCACAAGUAGAAAUUUUAAAAGGCUAGACAUUCUGGGGGACUGGUGGUUUGUACUACCAGGGUCUAUUGUAUUAGAAGAUAGAAGACCUUCAUGGAAGACCAGUAAGGAACCAGCUGAGACACAAGCUCACCUUGGGGAAAGAGCCAUCAGGAAUAAAGGAUUGUGA
rnacentral:lncRNA from 1 species